UACGUAGGGACCAAGCGUUGUUCGGAUUUACUGGGCGUAAGGGGCGCGUAGGCGGCAUGACAAGUCACUUGUGAAAUCUCUGGGCUUAACCCAGAACGGCCAAGUGAAACUGACGCGCUAGAGUGCGGAAGGGGCAAUCGGAAUUCCUGGUGUAGCGGUGAAAUGCGCAGAUAUCAGGAAGAACACCAAUGGCGAAGGCAGCUCUCUGGGACGGUACUGACGCUGAGACGCGAAAGCGUGGGGAGCGAACAGG
rnacentral:rRNA from 1 species